rnacentral:tRNA from 1 species
CGCGCCAUUAGCUCAGCUGGAUAGAGCGUCUGGCUACGGACCAGGAGGUCGUGGGUUCGAAUCCUGCAUGGCGCGCCAU